rnacentral:misc_RNA from 1 species
UGACGGUGAUACAAUUUUCGAAUUGCGACUGCAGAACGGAUUCCACAGCAGAACGGAUUUUCACUGAUGCUGACUUGCAAUGGCGGAUGGAUCUUGUGGGUUGGGGUUAUUGCCAUUUCCGCUUGUCUAGAGGCUUUCUGUGGUUGCACGGUCGUCUUUAGUUGCAACUUGUCGCCUCUUACGUCACUUUUUGCCUCUAUAGACGGUACUCACUGACCACCAACCAAAGUAACAUCAGGAACAGCAAGUUGAAGGUGGACCGGGGUCGGAAAUGCAGUUAGAGGAUCCGAAGACGAACUGAGACCGGCAUUUAAGACAGAUUUGAUUUUGCUGUCGGUUGCUUUGAGCGGCUGAAUGGUCGGACGAACGCAGUCGACAGAACGAGUACGUCAUUGAAACUGUCCCCAAGCUGUCAUUCGGUCUUUUUACCGUCUCAUUCGGUGGUUGAAAUAUGCUCCAUCUGAGACUUGCACCGGUAGUAAUCCCAUCCAUCUUAUAAUACCGGUAUUCCGUGCUCGUAGUGUCGUAAAAGUCCAACCCGUGAGAGUCAGUGGCACUUCGAGUGACCCCAAUUCCACAUGGAGUUCAAAAAUACACCGACAGCGGCCCAAAAAUAACUCUGACAGCAACCAAAACAACCUUGGAACCAUCUACAUCACUUCUAUCAGCAUGGUUCGUGGCUGACAGCAAUCAGAGCGCAGCUUUGGCGAAGAGGCCAAAAAACGCAGUUUAAAAUAUAGAGAUAAUCCGAGUCGAUAAAAAUGACCGCAAAGACUCCAGCUAUCGGAUGAUGUAGUCCGCUUCUCCUCUGCGGUCUCAG